AACUAACUAAUCAAGAAGAAAUCAUUAGCUUACACCGGGAAAGACGAAGACGUACGAUUUCGUUCCUGUCAUAAUCGUAUAUGACAAAAACAAAUUCCCUUACAGUAUAAUAUAACUUAGUAGAUUUGUUUUUCACAAGUGUUAUAUAUAAAGAAUGAUUAUUAUUUUUUUUUUUCAUUUUUUGUAUGUGAACAUAUACAACACAUUUCUAAACUCAUCCUCUUCGUCAAAGUGUUAUAUAAAGAAUGAUACUUUGUAUGUGAAUAACUGAAUAUAUAUAUAUAUAUAUAUAUAUAUUAACACUUGUCUAUAUAUAAGCAAACAAAUAUAAUUGUUUACAUUAAGAGACAUUU
rnacentral:lncRNA from 1 species